GACGAACGCUGGCGACGUGCUUAACACAUGCAAGUCGAACGGUGAAGGGACCGGUUUUUGCUGGUUCUGGAUGAGUGGCGAACGGGUGAGUAACACGUGAGUAACCUGCCCCCUUCUUCUGGAUAACCGCAUGAAAGUGUGGCUAAUACGGGAUAUUCUGCGCCUGCUGCAUGGUGGGUGUGGGAAAGAUAUUGUUUCGGUGGGGGAUGGGCUCGCGGCCUAUCAGCUUGUUGGUGGGGUGAUGGCCUACCAAGGCGGUGACGGGUAGCCGGCCUGAGAGGGUGGACGGUCACACUGGGACUGAGACACGGCCCAGACUCCUACGGGAGGCAGCAGUGGGGAAUAUUGAACAAUGGGCGCAAGCCUGAUGCAGCGACGCCGCGUGAGGGAUGGAGGCCUUCGGGUUGUAAACCUCUUUCGCCAGUGAAGCAGGCCUGUCCCUUGUGUGGGUGGGUUGACGGUAGCUGGAUAAGAAGCGCCGGCUAACUACGUG
rnacentral:rRNA from 1 species